UCGAGAAUCUUUCGCAAUGCCCGAAAGGGUGACGAAGCGACGCCGCGUGCGGGAAGAAGGCCUUCGGGUUGUAAACCGCUGUCGGGAGUUAAGAAGUGCGGGGAUGUUAAUAGCGUCCUUGCUUGACUAAGGCUCCGGAGGAAGCCACGGCUAACUCUGUGCCAGCAGCCGCGGUAAUACAGAGGCGGCAAGCGUUGUUCGGAAUUAUUGGGCGUAAAGAGCACGUAGGCGGCCGCGUAAGUCGGUUGUGAAAGCCUUCCGCUCAACGGAAGGACGGCAUCCGAUACUGCAUGGCUCGAGUGCGGGAGGGGAGAGUGGAACUUCUGGUGGAGCGGUGAAAUGCGUAGAUAUCAGAAGGAACACCGGCGGCGAAGGCGACUCUCUGGUCCGUAACUGACGCUGAGUGUGCGAAAGCUAGGGGAGCAAACGGGAUUAGAUACCCCAGUAGUCCUAGCCGUAAACGAUGGG
rnacentral:rRNA from 1 species